UAUCAGCGAAUACUAUGUAGUUUUUUAGUGCGCAUGAUGGUUUUUGCUCCGCCCCACGUAUGAGUCAGAGUUUUUUUUACGAGCGCUCCAGUAGUGACAGCUCAAAGCUGUCCACGUCAACACUAAAUACCGCCAUGGACUCCGCGGCUCUGGACGCUUCAUUGUACACUGUUAAGGCAGUUUUCAUCUUGGACAAUGACGGAAACCGACUUCUUUCUAAGUACUAUGAUACAGAGCUGUAUCCCUCAAUGAAGGAGCAGAAAAAUUUUGAGAAGAAUGUAUUCAACAAAACACAUAAAGCAGACAAUGAAAUAGCCUUCCUGGAGGGCAUGACUAUAGUGUACAAGAGCAGCAUAGACCUGUUCUUCUAUGUGGUGGGAAGUGCACAGGAGAAUGAGCUGAUGUUGAUGGCAGUAUUAAACUGUCUGUUUGAGUCUCUCAAUCAGAUCUUGAGGAAAAAUGUGGAGAAAAGGUGUCUACUAGAUAAUAUGGAUGGUGCCUUUCUGGUGGUGGAUGAGAUCAUUGAUGGAGGGGUUAUACUGGAGAGCGAUCCGCAGCAGGUAGUCGAGAAGGUCAACUACAGGUGUUUGUCAGAGCAAGCUUUUGGCUUUGUCAUGUUUGAUUACAUCACGGGUAACAUGGAGGGCCAGGCACAGAAGAGCCAGCCUUUUUAACAGAAAAGACCAUUUUCCUCUCCACCUCCUUCUCAAAGUUAAAAGAGAAAUGGAGAAAACAGAAUGGGGAGAGAGAAGAGAGAAAGAAUAUAGGCAGACUGAUGACAACCCUCUUUCAGAACACAGUGUGGCGCAGGUGUUACAGACUGCAAAAGAACAGAUCAAGUGGUCAAUACUAAAAUAAUCUACCUUACCAGUGAGCGGAUCUGUAAAUGAUCUGAAGUGAUUCGGGGAAUACUGCAGCCAUUCAACUUGAUUUUUUAAUAGAACCCACUAGGCUAAUUAAUUCUGGUACUAGCUGUAGGUUCAGCUGUGUUUAUUGUUAAGCCAUUCAGACUUUAAUGCUUUAUUAAACAGGUUAUACUGUGCAUAUCACUAAGAAAAAGGCUCAUUUUCCACACACUUUUAAGUUUGAUAGGCACUAUCCAUGAAGUUCCUUGAAUUUAGUAAUGUGCACAGUAACAAAGACCUGAUUUGCACUGAAUAUUUUCAGCAUGUGCACUAGAUGCUAGAAAAAAAAACACAGUUGUGUGAGAAUUGUGUCAUUUAAAAUAAUUUUGUAUUUAUAUUUAAAACUAUAAUACUAUAAUAUUUGUGAUUACAAUUGUAACACAUUGUUGUUGUGUUCAACAUUUGGUGUAUUAUUUGUGGGUUUUUAUUUUUACAACCUUAUUAAUGGACUACAAAUCUCACUUUAUGGGUACGUUUGUCCUGAUCUUUAAAAUUUAGAUAGGAGCCACUUCAACAUCUGGCAUUGUUACAUUGGCUUUUUCUGUAAAAAAUGGGCCUAUUGUCAGGUCUUUUACAAUCCAAAUAUUAUAUUUUGUCCAAAAAAAAAAAAAUCAAUUCUUGUUGAGAAACCAAAGAUGUUGAUAGGCAAUGAAAAACCAUACUUUAUGUUACUGAAGAAAUAAAAUAGCAUUAUAUCCAUGUAUUGUCUUAACUAUACUCCAAUAUUAUUAAGCUUUUUCUAACGAAAAUAUCAAAUUUUAAGACAUGAUAUUUUAAUGCCCUGUAGCCCUACUGCAGGUUGAAGAUUUACAUUUUAUUAUCAUGCCAUAAGUUGUUUUUCAUUUUGGUAGAAAUAGUUUUAAUGAGUGAUCUGCUAUUUUAGAAACACUAAACGAUAUCUGGAAGUUGUCUCUGGAUGUUAAUAAAUCUAAUUUUAUUUAAA